GUGGGGUAAUGGCCUACCAAGGCAACGACGGGUAGCUGGUCUGAGAGGAUGUCCAGCCACACUGGGACUGAGACACGGCCCAGACUCCUACGGGAGGCAGCAGUUAGGAAUCUUGCGCAAUGGGCGAAAGCCUGACGCAGCGACGCCGCGUGCGGGAUGACGGCCCUCGGGUUGUAAACCGCUUUCAGCAGGGACGAUUAUGACGGUACCUGCAGAAGAAGCCCCGGCCAACUACGUGCCAGCAGCCGCGGUAAGACGUAGGGGACGAGCGUUGUCCGGAAUUAUUGGGCGUAAAGCGCGCGUAGGCGGCUCGGAUAGUCGGAUGUGAAAAUCCGGGGCUCAACCCCGGACCUGCAUCCGAUACUUCCGGGCUAGAGGUAGGUAGGGGAGAUCGGAAUUCCUGGUGUAGCGGUGAAAUGCGCAGAUAUCAGGAGGAACACCGGUGGCGAAGGCGGAUCUCUGGGCCUUACCUGACGCUGAGGCGCGAAAGCUAGGGGAGCGAACAGGAUUAGAUACCCUGGUAGUCCUAGCCGUAAACGUUGGGUGCUAGGUGUGGGGGGACAUCGACCCCUUCCGUGCCGAAGCUAACGCAUUAAGCA
rnacentral:rRNA from 1 species